ACACACUCAAACUCCGUCCGUCUCCCCGCCAUAUCUGCCCCACACCCGAGCAUCGGCCAUCAGUUGACCUCUCGCCAACGGGACUCAAGUCCAGCCACUCCGGCCUGCUGUCCACGACCGGCCCCGGACCAACCUGCGCCAAGAGACAGACUCAUAAUGGCUUCUUUGACUUUCAUGGGCACAACUUUGGUCCUCAUGUUGAUAAACAGCAAUAAAAGUUUCCAAAUGUGAUGGAAAGACUGGAGGAACGACUAGGUGCUGAGAGCUCUCUUAUUCCUGAAUUAAGGAGGCAAUUAAACACACCUGAGCAAUUGCAAACGCCAAGGAAGCCCUGUGUCCCAAACAUUGUGGUCCACUGAAACGGGGUGACUAUGUAAAAACACAGCUGUAAUUUCUAAAUGGCAAAACCAAAAUGUAUUAAAAUGGCCUUUGAUUAAAUCUGACAAUGUGCAC